CAGUCGAACGAAGCACUCUAUUUGAUUUUCUUCGGAGAUGAAGAUUUUGUGACUGAUUGGCGGACGGGUGAGUAACGCGUGGGUAACCUGCCUCAUACAGGGGGAUAACAGUUGGAAACGACUGCUAAUACCGCAUAAGCGCACGGUACCGCAUGGUACCGUGUGAAAAACUCCGGUGGUAUGAGAUGGACCCGCGUCUGAUUAGCUAGUUGGUGGGGUAACAGCCUACCAAGGCGACGAUCAGUAGCCGACCUGAGAGGGUGACCGGCCACAUUGGGACUGAGACACGGCCCAAACUCCUACGGGAGGCAGCAGUGGGGAAUAUUGCACAAUGGGGGAAACCCUGAUGCAGCGACGCCGCGUGAACGAAGAAGUAUUUCGGUAUGUAAAGUUCUAUCAGCAGGGAAGAUAAUGACGGUACCUGACUAAGAAGCACCGGCUAAAUACGUGCCAGCAGCCGCGGUAAUACGUAUGGUGCAAGCGUUAUCCGGAUUUACUGGGUGUAAAGGGAGCGCAGGCGGUGCGGCAAGUCUGAUGUGAAAGCCCGGGGCUCAACCCCGGUACUGCAUUGGAAACUGUCGUACUAGAGUGUCGGAGGGGUAAGUGGAAUUCCUAGUGUAGCGGUGAAAUGCGUAGAUAUUAGGAGGAACACCAGUGGCGAAGGCGGCUUACUGGACGAUAACUGACGCUGAGGCUCGAAAGCGUGGGGAGCAAACAGGAUUAGAUACCCUGGUAGUCCACGCCGUANACGAUGAAUACUAGGUGUUGGAGANCAUUGCUCUUCGGUGCCGCAGCAAACGCAAUAAGUAUUCCACCUNGGGAGUACGUUCGCAA
rnacentral:rRNA from 1 species